CCGGUGUGAGUAGCGAAAGACGGGUGAGAAUCCCGUCCACCGAUUGACUAAGGUUUCCAGAGGAAGGCUCGUCCGCUCUGGGUUAGUCGGGUCCUAAGCUGAGGCCGACAGGCGUAGGCGAUGGAUAACAGGUUGAUAUUCCUGUACCACCAUUAUUCGUUUUAAGCGAUGGGGGGACGCAGUAGGAUAGGCGAAGCGUGCUGUUGGAGUGCACGUCCAAGCAGUGAGAUUGAGUGUUAGGCAAAUCCGGCACUCUUAAGAUUGAGCUGUGAUGGGGAGAGGAACUUGUUCCUCGAGUCGUUGAUUUCACACUGCCGAGAAAAGCCUCUAGCUAGAAUAACGGUGCCCGUACCGCAAACCGACACAGGUAGUCAAGAUGAGAAUUCUAAGGUGAGCGAGCGAACUCUCGUUAAGGAACUCGGCAAAAUGACCCCGUAACUUCGGGAGAAGGGGUGCUCUUUGAGGUUCACGCUUCGAAGAGCCGCAGUGAAUAGGCCCAAGCGACUGUUUAUCAAAAACACAGGUCUCUGCU
rnacentral:rRNA from 1 species